rnacentral:rRNA from 1 species
AAUGAACGCUGGCGGCAGGCCUAACACAUGCAAGUCGAACGCACCUUUCGGGGUGAGUGGCGGACGGGUGAGUAACGCGUGGGAACGUGCCCUUUGCUACGGAAUAGUCCCGGGAAAUUGGGGGUAAUACCGUAUGUGCCCUUCGGGGGAAAGGAUUUAUCGGCAAAGGAUCGGCCCGCGUUGGAUUAGGUAGUUGGUGGGGUAAUGGCCUACCAAGCCGACGAUCCAUAGCUGGUUUGAGAGGAUGAUCAGCCACACUGGGACUGAGACACGGCCCAGACUCCUACGGGAGGCAGCAGUGGGGAAUCUUAGACAAUGGGGGAAACCCUGAUCUAGCCAUGCCGCGUGAUCGAUGAAGGCCUUAGGGUUGUAAAGAUCUUUCAGAUGGGAAGAUAAUGACGGUACCAUCAGAAGAAGCCCCGGCUAACUCCGUG